CCUACGGGUGGCAGCAGUGAGGAAUAUUGGUCAAUGGACGAGAGUCUGAACCAGCCAAGUAGCGUGAAGGAUGACUGCCCUAUGGGUUGUAAACUUCUUUUAUAUGGGAAUAAAAUGUUCCACGUGUGGGAUUUUGUAUGUACCAUAUGAAUAAGGAUCGGCUAACUUCGUGCCAGCAGCCGCGGUACUACGGAGGAUCCGAGCGUUAUCCGGGUUUAUUUGGUUUAAAGGGAGCGUAGGUGGAUUGUUAAGUCAGUUGGGAAAGUUUGCGGCAUAACCGUAAGAUUGCAGUUGAAGCUAGCAGUCUUGAGUACAGUAGAGGUGAGCGGAAUUCGUGGUGUAGCGGUGAAAUGCUUAGAUAUCACGAAGAACUCCGAUUGCGAAGGCAGUUCACUGGACUGCAACUGACACUGAGGCUCGAAAGUGUGGGUAUCAAACAGGAUUAGAUACCCGAGUAGUC
rnacentral:rRNA from 1 species